AACAAGGAAUUAUGCUGGUUCUCAGUUUGUUCAGGUUCCUUCGAGCCAACAUCAGCAUCCAAAGUUGCUAGGAGACAAAUCAGGUAAGUGAUAAUUCGAGUAGAUGCAAAUCAUAUGGUGCCUCGCCUAUUCAACUUUUUCAUGUGAUGGCCUGAUAGGUUGCAUAUAGAAUUAGCCAGACUCAAGUUGAUACAUUCUCAU